GAUGAACGCUGGCGGCGUGCCUAGUACAUGCAAGUCGAGCGAACAGACGAGGAGCUUGCUCCUCUGACGUUAGCGGCGGACGGGUGAGUAACACGUGGAUAACCUACCUAUAAGACUGGGAUAACUUCGGGAAACCGGAGCUAAUACCGGAUAACAUGUUGAACCGCAUGGUUCAACAGUGAAAGACGGUCUUGCUGUCACUUAUAGAUGGAUCCGCGCCGCAUUAGCUAGUUGGUAAGGUAACGGCUUACCAAGGCAACGAUGCGUAGCCGACCUGAGAGGGUGAUAGGCCACACUGGAACUGAGACACGGUCCAGACUCCUACGGGAGGCAGCAGUAGGGAAUCUUCCGCAAUGGGCGAAAGCCUGACGGAGCAACGCCGCGUGAGUGAAGAAGGUCUUCGGAUCGUAAAACUCUGUUAUUAGGGAAGAACAAAUGUGUAAGUAACUAUGCACGUCUUGACGGUACCUAAUCAGAAAGCCACGGCUAACUACGUG
rnacentral:rRNA from 1 species